UGGGGAAUUUUGGACAAUGGGCGCAAGCCUGAUCCAGCCAUGCCGCGUGAGUGAAGAAGGCCUUCGGGUUGUAAAGCUCUUUCGGCGGGGACGAAACGGUCCGUGACAACACCACGGACUAAUGACGGUACUCGCAGAAGAAGCACCGGCUAACUACGUGCCAGCAGCCGCGGUAAUACGUAGGGUGCGGGCGUUAAUCGGAGUUACUGGGCGUAAAGCGUGCGCAGGCGGCUCCUUAAGUCAGAUGUGAAAGCCCCGGGCUUAACCUGGGAACUGCGUUUGAAACUGGGGAGCUAGAGUGUGGAAGAGGGGGGUGGAAUUCCAGGUGUAGCAGUGAAAUGCGUAGAGAUCUGGAGGAACACCGAUGGCGAAGGCAGCCCCCUGGGCUAACACUGACGCUCAUGCACGAAAGCGUGGGGAGCAAACAGGAUUAGAUACCCUGGUAGUCCACGCCCUAAACGAUGUCAACUGGUUGUCGGGGAAGUAAUUCCUUGGUAACGAAGCUAACGCGUGAAGUUGACCGCCUGGGGAGUACGGCCGCAAGGCUAA
rnacentral:rRNA from 1 species